AAUUGCCUGCGGCAUGAGAGGAUGCCUAUUUUUGUUGAGCCAACAUUUUUCCCUUGGGAGCCCCAUUCGGGCGGUGGAAUGGUUACAGGAAGCCGUUCUCAGGGCGCCCACUUGUAAAAAGGGACUCAACUAAAAAGGGACGCCACUCUGUCGCGGGCUUUUU
rnacentral:other from 1 species